AUUGAACGCUGGCGGCAGGCCUAACACAUGCAAGUCGAGCGAGCGGCGGACGGGUGAGUAAUGCCUGGGAAUUGCCCAGUCGAGGGGGAUAACAGUUGGAAACGACUGCUAAUACCGCAUACGUUUGGUCUGCCCAGGUGGGAUUAGCUAGUUGGUGAGGUAAUGGCUCACCAAGGCGACGAUCCCUAGCUGGUCUGAGAGGAGGAUCAGCAACACUGGAACUGAGACACGGUCCAGACUCCUACGGGAAGCAGCAGUGGGGAAUAAUGAACAAUGGGGGAAACCCUGAGGCAGCCAUGCCGCGUGUGUGAAGAAGGCCUUCGGGUUGUAAAGCACUUUAAGCGAGGAGGCGUUACUCGCAGAAGAAGCACCGGCUAACUCCGUGCCAGCAGCCGCGGUAAUUC
rnacentral:rRNA from 1 species